GCAAUCUUUAAAAUAAUACAUCAUCCUACUAUUUAUCAUUACUAAUCCUAGAUAUGUGUUGUUAGGAUCAAUAGGCAGGCAACGUAUCAUAUGCAACUCAACUUCGUGUGCAACCUAUGCAACCACCAAUUAAGGUUACAUGAUCUAGAUUUUUUCACUUAAACCCCUCCACCUGUGGGUUUAAAUCUAACCCGUGUGUAUUUAGAUGGGAGGGUUUAAAUGAAAAAAACCAUCUAGAUCCUAUGACCUUAAUUGGUGGUUGCAUAAGUUGCACACGAAGCUGGGUUGCACAGGAUACAUUUCCCCCAAUAGGCAUAUGUACUCCUUACACAAGGAUCAAAAAAAUCAGGACAUCAUCAAAUUUUUGACUAAUUGUCUCACCAGAAUGCUUGACUAUACCAUGCAAAGCACUUAUGGACACACCAUGUGUCCACAAACUAGAAGAAAGAUACCAAGUGAUUCCAAAGAAAUCAUGUGAACAAAUGGUUCCUGACCAUAUGUACUCACUAACAAGUCAUGUAACUUGUGAAACAAUGGUGCACUCAUUCUGAACAUUUUAUGGCUUUCACAUAGGGUGUUGAGCCUCUCCAUAGUCCAAACAAAUCCAGAUUUGAGUCCUAGCGUCAUUUCAACAUAUGUCAUGUAGUACUUGGUUGCAACAAGUGAACUAGCAAAUACAUUAUUUUCUGGUCCGCAUCAAUUCCAUAGUAUUUGAAGUCCACUCAUAAUCAUCCAUAUCAGUACCAAAAUCAGAUCUGUGCACACCAAGCAAAACAAACAUGAACAUACAAAGCAAGGAGAAAUUUAAGACACAAAUAGUAUAAUAUCAAGUACUCCCUCCGUUCAAUUCCAAAUUACAAGACAUUUUAUUUUUUUCUAGAUACAUUUCUUUUACUGUAUAUUUUAGAUAUAGCGUAUAUCUAAGUAACACAUUUCGAGGAUCGUGGUUUUGUGUUUCUUGCGGUGGUAGUUUUGUUGUUGCCUCCUUCGCGUGGUUGUUGUUUUUUGUUUUUUUAAUUAUAAUUACUUCUUCUCUAUUAAUAUAUGCCCAGCAUAUUCAUUUUGGUGGUUCAUAAAAAAGCUAUGUAUCUAGAAAUACUAAAACAUCUUAUAAUUUAAAAUAGAGAGAGUACAAAAUAAUGAAACCGUACCAAAGCAAGGAUAAUUUCGAAACACAUAAAUAGUAUAGUUAAGUACCAAAAAGUGUCAGAUCUGUGCCGCAGAGAAUCUGUAGUCUUCUAGCUAUCCUUUUUCUAUGCGUGGAAUUGAAGCAGGCACGAGAAUGAGAUGCCAUGCCAUUUCUGUGGUGCGAGCGCCCAGUGGCUGGCCGAGGAAAGGACCAGGGUCGUCGGCACUUCCCCUCCCAAGAAGAGAGGGUGGACCAGCUACGUCGAGAAGGACACCGCCGGCCAGACAAACAUGGCAACAUCUACUCCCUCGAGGUAAUUCGAUCGCGCUCUUCUUACAUUCAAACGCUCUAGCCACCGGUGGGCAGUGGUGUAGAAUUACGUUGCUUUUAUUUGUCCUCUAAAACUAGAACCUCAAUCUUUACAUUACUCCACGCCUGGAAUUUGCACAGCCGACAGUGUAGGUGGCCGAGAGCGCCAUCAGCUUCGGCGUGGCUGGCACGUCGACGGAGGGUGCCGAGAACACGGCCACCAUCGCUGCGGGGCUUGUUCUCACAAGAGCAUCUCCAACAAAAUUUGUUUCCCAAAUCUUAUUGUUUGUCAACCCCAAAAUAAUAUGGAGAAAGAAAAAAGAUCUAUUUCUAAUAGUUUGGCAAAUUUCGUUUUCAAAAACCUAAAAACCCGCUAAUAAACGAAGAGCCCCGCUAAGCAUGAGGAGAAAGACAGAUGCCAAGUACAGAGUCUGCGCGCAUAUUUAUGCGCUAGACAGAAAGAUAUGACAAGUUAGAAAAGAUGGAGAAUUAAUAUGCCAAACUGUUAGAGAAGAUUUUUCCUUAUUUUGCUAAAAAAGUUAUGGAUGGAAAAGUUAUGGAUGAAAAGUCAUUUACCAAACUGUUGAAGAUGCUCUAGACCCCGUCGCCGCGGCCUCGUCCUUCCUCAUCCAGGUGAACAAGAACCAGUCGUACGUGCCGGGGCCAGCGCAGACCCUCGAGGCCCCUGCCCUCGCAGAGGCAGUAGAGGCACAGGAU
rnacentral:lncRNA from 1 species